GCGACCCCAGGUCAGGCGGGACUACCCGCUGAGUUUAAGCAUAUAAAUAAGCGGAAGGAGAAGAAACUU
rnacentral:rRNA from 1 species